UUCUAAAAUAUGAGUUAUGUUAUCUAUUGGUACAAGUGCAUACAAUCAUCAGCAUAUCUAUAAUAAAUCAAAGGGAAUAUUGUUAAAACCAGUAGUUUCAAGCUCAGCAAUAACAGGACUAAAGAUGUUUAAACAUUGUGAAGUCAUUAGUGUUUCAUUAAGCGGUUUGUCUCUAAAACGAGCCAAAAUGGAGGUUACCUGAGGGUAAGACGGAAUCAAUGACACUCGUGUUAUAUUUUGAUUGAUUUGAGGAGGAAGCAAAGUCGUAUUGUCUGUAAAUGGAUGUGAAAAAAUUGCGUGAAACAUUAUCACAUCGAAAAUAGGAUGUCAAUAAGAAUCCCGCAUUGUUUGAAUCGAAUUUUAGCGUAGACUGCAUUCUCAUUUUCUCUCGUCUCGAUAUUUCCGAGCAUCCAUUCUCGCUGUCGCUUGUCUAAAGUGAUAAUUUAAGGCACAAAGAUAUCACCUGCGCAUCUGGGAUUAAAUAUCGAUUUAGGCGUUUGCGCCGCUAUAAAAUUCUAGCCGUAAAAGUGAAAUGUAUGCAUAAAUCGAGGGAAUAUUUGAUGAAAUGCAGAUGUGACGCAGUGUGUCAUAUCCUUUGCAAGAUUUGUUUACAGAGAUAGGCCCCGGUGUAAAUCAAUAACCCCGCUAUGGGCUACCAACAGGGACGUUACCACUAAUCAUCUGAUAUACUGGCACGGCCCCUGUAUAUGUUGCGACCUCGCCACUAAUACCUUACCACCAACGAGAUAUUCAUUGGAUAAAAACAAAUCUAUUGCCCCUCUAUGCCGGCUUUGUUUAUUGGAAACUACAAAUUUAGCGGAAUAUUUAAAUUGCUCAGACCUGGAGGAAAUGGUCGCUGUCUUUGUGCGCCUGCAGAUAAAAGCGGCCUUCUCAAUUUCCUAGCUUUCGAUGAUAAAUUCCGCCUUGUAACGGUUUCUGCCCCUAUACCUAACUGCGGGCUUUCAUCCCACCGGAUUUUAUUUACGAAAGAAUUCUUUUUGAGCUUAAACGUAAAAAACACGAGAAAAUAGUCCAUUUCCACUCGCCUCUAAUUGAUACAUCCGUAAAACACACAAAGUCGCUCGGAACAAUUUUAUAUUUCUAUAAAACCCUGUCGUAAAACAAGUCAAUUUUAAAUGACACGGUGAUACGAAAGUGUGCGCGGAUUUACAAUGAUGACUCAAUAAACAAAUAAAAUUUUCCGAUCGAUCGUAAAUUGGAGCUCUGCAUCUGCUCUAAAACGGUUGUAACUUCAAGUUGGAAAAAUUUAUUGCAACGAAAUCGACGACUUUGUUGACCCAUUAUUUUUAAACAUUGACAGAUUGUUGAAAAAUGAAUCGAAAAUGCACCAUCAUCUACGUGACUUUGAACAGGUAGAUUGACUAAACAAUGGAGCCAGAUUUCAUCUUUUCUAUGCAAGGUGCGCUGCGGUAAUUAGCGUGUCUAAUAAAGGAUUCAAGUUAAAUUUUGCGGUUAAAUUCUUAUGGAAGAUAACUUUUCGUGACCGUAAACGAGCGGCGUUUUUUCUUCACUUCUAAAAUAAUUCAAGACUAAUACCUCCAUUAUAAAGUUUCAUUGCACUUAAAGGCACUGUUUUUUAAUCUUAAAUGAUAAUGAGACUUUUAUUGUCUGAACACUGUUGAUUUACAAUUACUAGCAAAACACGCAAUGACCCAUUUAGUGCAUAGUAGCUACAAAACUCCACUUGAAGAUUUUUCCAACAAUGAAAUGCUAAUUAACUGGCAAAGUCAAAUGCAACAAAAGCUAUUUCAACUUUUCCUUUGAAACGAGAAUAAUAACAAAUUUGCAUUUUUUGCUCAAUGGAAAAUUCACAAAAGAAGGCACGAAAACUUUUACAGAAUCAACAGUUUUUUAAUUUUUUGUCUCAAUUUGAAUUGGUUACGUAAAUACCACUCUGGAAAUUUUUCUACUUCUGUUUGCAAUUUGUUAUUGCACCGAAAUUGUGAUGUGGUUGCAAGCUUUGGUUGUUGUUUCAGGUUGAAAUUGAAAUAGAACAUUCCAGUCUGAAUUGUAAUUUUAUGGUGUUUUUGUUGCCGUUAUGUCAUAUUUAAUAUCCGGGGCUCGUGACCAAGUACACAAUUCUUUGACGAAAAUCUGCUUUUCGAAACAACACUGAAAUGAAAUUAUUGUGACGCGACUACGGAGAACUAUAACUUAGGAGAAG